rnacentral:rRNA from 1 species
AGAGGGAGCAAGCGUUGUUCGGAAUUACUGGGCGUAAAGGGCGCGUAGGCGGUUCGAUAAGUCCCGUGUGAAAUCCCUCGGCUCAACUGAGGAAUGGCACGGGAAACUGACGGGCUUGAGUUCGGGAGAGGGAAGCGGAAUUCCGGGUGUAGCGGUGAAAUGCGUAGAUAUCCGGAGGAACACCGGUGGCGAAGGCGGCUUCCUGGACCGACACUGACGCUGAGGCGCGAAAGCUAGGGGAGCAAACGGGAUUAGAUACCCCGGUAGUCCUAGCUGUAAACGAUGAGUGUGGGUGUAGGGGGUAUCUANCCCNNUUGUGCCGAAGCUAACGCAUUAAGCACUCCGCCUGGGGAGUACGGUCGCAAGGCUG